GCGAAGCAGGAUGUUGAAUAUCACUUUAAAUUUUUCAGAACAGUAAACCCGACUGAUUUGUUUACGAAUUUCUUUGUAAUAACCGCUCGCGUGACCCUAUAGACCAGUGCGGUCAAGCGAGCUGAAAACUUGCGCCCAAUUAGUGGUUUUGAAACGACUCAAGGGCGGACGGUGAGUGUGGGAUGCCCUGAACCUACUCUGUACCGGAUGCUUCGAGACAGGUUUCUAUAGUUUUGGGAGUGGAUGCUGAGGACCUGAGCUGAGUGAGCGCUUCUCAACCAUCACUUUCAUCCUCUGCAUGUUCAGCGCAGACGACACACUUUCUCAGUGACGCCGAGCCGGUGGGCUGUCGCAGGUGCAGCUGUGUGGGGCAGAGUGAGGAGACAAACACCACAGACAGUGAAUGCUGGAGUUGUGACAGUUGAAGGAAACGUCGUUAUAUAUGGGUUGCCGCAUGUAUCUGAAGAAGGCCCCCGGACCGUGGUGUGUGGGUACGUUCAUCCCCAUGUUCAUAU